rnacentral:rRNA from 1 species
UACAGGGGUGCAAACGUUGCUCGGAAUUAUUGGGCGUAAAGCGCGCGUAGGCGGCUACUUAAGUCGGAUGUGAAAGCCCCUGGCUCAACUGGGAAGUGCACCCGAAACUGAGCAGCUAGAGUACGAAAGAGGGUCGCGGAAGUUCCCGGUGUGAGAGGUGAAAUUCGUAGAUAUCGGGAGGAACACCGGUGGCGAAGGCGGCGAC